rnacentral:rRNA from 1 species
GACGUAGGGUCCGAGCGUUGUCCGGAGUUACUGGGCGUAAAGGGCGCGUAGGCGGUUUCUUACGUUCCACGUGAAAGCCCCUGGCUCAACCAGGGAGGGUCGUGGGAAACGGGGAAACUGGAGGCAGCGAGAGGCUGGUAGAAUUCCCGGAGUAGUGGUGAAAUGCGUAGAGAUCAGGAGGAACACCAAUGGCGAAGGCAGCUUGCUGGGACGGUACUGACGCUGAGGAGCGAAAGCGUGGGGAGCGAACAGG